rnacentral:rRNA from 1 species
UACGUAGGUGACCAGCGUUGUCCGGAUUUACUGGGCGUAAAGAGCGCGCAGGCGGUCGUUCAAGUCGAGUGUGAAAGCCCCCGGCUCAACUGGGGAGGGUCACUCGAUACUGAUCGACUUGAAGGCAGGAGAGGGAAGCGGAAUUCCCGGUGUAGUGGUGAAAUGCGUAGAUAUCGGGAGGAACACCAGUGGCGAAGGCGGCGACCUGGGUAGAUACUGACGCUGAGGCGCGAAAGCGUGGGGAGCAAACAGG